GGCAGAACUGACACACAAAGGUGGAUGUUGUUUCAUUUCCAGGGAGAUGUUCUCCCAUGAGUCCUCUGCCUCCUCCAUGUACAUCCACAGAACAGCCGAACCCUGCAGCAUGUGGCCACUGAGGGACUGAUCUAGGUUCCGGCCUUCUGGUUUCCACACACCUGUGGAUAGUCAUGCACCUGAAACUGAUGACUUCCUAUUCUUUGCUGGAUAGUUCCUCCUACCACAGGUCUCUUGGUAAUUACCUGAGUUGGGAAUCUGGAGUGAAACAUCUGGAAACUGCCAGAGAGCUGUCUGUGUCUGGGGAGUCUGGGAGCAUCACUACUGCUUGAAUUCUUGUUGCUGGACAUUCCGCACUGCAAAUAAA